AGAAAAAAGUCAAGAUUACGAGAUAAAAUUCAAUUAUGACAUUUUAAAAAGAGAAUAAAGUUAAUUCUGAGAUAUAAAGUCAACAUUUAUCUGAUAAUUUUGACUUUUUAUCUCAUCAGGUUUUGUUUAUCAUACUGAAGGGAAACUUUCCACCGGUCUUUAUCUGUCAGAAACGUGCUUCCAUACUUCAGCCGCUGGUCAGUGUCAGUCUGUGCUGCAGGGAGAGAGCAGCACUGAGUGAACCCACCUGCUCUCAAUCACAACAAACGGAAACUGUUUGGGACGGGUGGUGCUGGUGGAGGGUGGAGGAGGUGGAUGGAUCAGGGGGGGUUUGAAUCUGAUGUGUCAGACUUUUUAGUUUCAGGGGCACCUUUUGCAUUUUUUUUAUUUUUUUUUUCUUUUCGCUGAGGCCACUUGGAGCCGGGCAGAAACUGGAGCGGUUCAGGAGUUAAUGUAAAUCCCUCCGGUCACAAGCAGCUGAAAAUCAUUCUGACCACUGAGGAGGGAGGAGGAGGGAGGAGGAGGGAGGAGGAGGGAGGCCGGGGUCGACUCCAUUCACCGGCUCUCCUGCUCCUGUAAUCAGGAGGAGAUGGAUUGCCUUCAGUCUGCUCGCUCACAUCAAGUAGUAAAAACUUCACCUGCUUCUGCACGCUGAGCUCAGCAGCCUCGAUUACUCUCAGGGCUGCGCUGGAUCUGCUCGCUCAACUGCUGUAGCGACGCCGAGCGCUGCCUGCACCGCAGAGAAGCAGCUGAAAAGCUACUUGGUGGUGAAGUGGAAAACUUUAGCAGCCUUUGGUCAGUGGUACAUUUUCCACUGUGUGCAGCAGCUUAUGUUCACAACCUCAGCAGAAAAACCUCAGCAUCUACUGCCCCUUCUGUCAGAGCAGACAGGAGGAUGAAACACCUUCAAGAUGACUGAACUGCAAACACUCAUUCAUUAACAAACAGUGAGAGACUUAGAGCUCAACAGAUCCUGAACCAGUGUAGAAAUAUUGGCACUUUAACGAUCAAUAAAGAUCCCUGGAGUGACACA